rnacentral:misc_RNA from 1 species
GGAGUAAAAGUCGUAACAAGGUUUCCGUAGGUGAACCUGCGGAAGGAUCAUUCAUAAUAAAGUGUUUUAUGGCACUUUUUAAAAAUCCAUAUCCACCUUGUGUGCAAUGUUAGAUCUCGUCAAUCUUGGCGAGAUUUUUAUACAUCAACUCAUUCUUUAACUAAUUUGUCUGAAAAAUAUUAUGAAUACUUAAUUCAAAAUACAACUUUCGACAACGGAUCUCUUGGCUCUC